rfam:Stegodyphus mimosarum contig111527, whole genome shotgun sequence.
UCUUAGGUUUUUUUAAAAACCACUGUAUAUGAAUCUACACAUCUAG